rnacentral:tRNA from 1 species
GGGAAAGUGGCUCAGUGGUAGAGCGCUUGUCUUGCAUGCAUGAGGUCCUGGGUUCGAUUCCUCAGCACCA